rnacentral:rRNA from 1 species
UACGUAGGGUGCAAGCGUUAAUCGGAAUUACUGGGCGUAAAGCGUGCGCAGGCGGUUUUGUAAGUCAGUUGUGAAAUCCCCGGGCUCAACCUGGGAAUUGCAUCUGUGACUGCAUAGCUAGAGUACGGUAGAGGGGGAUGGAAUUCCGCGUGUAGCAGUGAAAUGCGUAGAUAUGCGGAGGAACACCGAUGGCGAAGGCAAUCCCCUGGACCUGUACUGACGCUCAUGCACGAAAGCGUGGGGAGCAAACAGG